GCCGGUCCUCGGUAGUGGUCCCCGGACACCGCCCCCCAGGGGUGGCUGCCGUGGGCUUCGAUCGAUGACCGGC
rfam:Nocardiopsis sp. NRRL B-16309 P441contig11.1, whole genome shotgun sequence.